CCUACGGGAGGCAGCAGUGGGGAAUAUUGGACAAUGGGGGGAACCCUGAUCCAGCCAUGCCGCGUGUGUGAAGAAGGCCCUCGGGUUGUAAAGCACUUUCAGUGAGGAAGAACGCCUGGUGGUUAAUAUCCAUCAGGAAAGACAUCACUCACAGAAGAAGCACCGGCUAACUCCGUGCCAGCAGCCGCGGUAAUACGGAGGGUGCGAGCGUUAAUCGGAAUUACUGGGCGUAAAGCGCGCGUAGGUGGCUUGAUAAGCCGGUUGUGAAAGCCCCGGGCUCAACCUGGGAACGGCAUCCGGAACUGUCAAGCUAGAGUGCAGGAGAGGAAGGUAGAAUUCCCGGUGUAGCGGUGAAAUGCGUAGAGAUCGGGAGGAAUACCAGUGGCGAAGGCGGCCUUCUGGACUGACACUGACACUGAGGUGCGAAAGCGUGGGUAGCAAACAGGAUUAGAUACCCCAGUAGUC
rnacentral:rRNA from 1 species